rnacentral:rRNA from 1 species
UACGUAGGGGGCUAGCGUUGUCCGGAUUUAUUGGGCGUAAAGAGCGUGUAGGCGGCCAGGUAGGUCUGGUGUGAAAACUCGAGGCUUAACCUCGAGAUGUCAUCGGAAACCAUCUGGCUAGAGUCCGGAAGAGGAGAGUGGAAUUCCUGGUGUAGCGGUGAAAUGCGCAGAUAUCAGGAAGAACACCCGUGGCGAAAGCGGCUCUCUGGAACGGUACUGACGCUGAGACGCGAAAGCGUGGGGAGCGAACAGG